rnacentral:rRNA from 1 species
AGUGAACGCUGGCGGCAGGCCUAACACAUGCAAGUCGAACGGCAGCACGGCAGUAGCAAUACUGUGGGUGGCGAGUGGCGGACGGGUGAGGAAUACAUCGGGAUCUACCCUGUUGUGGGGGAUAACGUAGGGAAACUUACGCUAAUACCGCAUAAGAACUGAGGUUGAAAGCGGCGGACCGCAAGGCGUCGCGCGAUUGGAUGAACCGAUGUCCGAUUAGCUAGUUGGCGGGGUAAAGGCCCACCAAGGCGACGAUCGGUAGCUGGUCUGAGAGGACGACCAGCCACACUGGAACUGAGACACGGUCCAGACUCCUACGGGAGGCAGCAGUGGGGAAUAUUGGACAAUGGGCGCAAGCCUGAUCCAGCCAUGCCGCGU